rnacentral:tRNA from 1 species
GUUUUAGUAAUUUAAAUAAAAAUAUUGAUCUUGUAAAUCAAAAAUAAGUCUCCUUCUAAAACU